UUCUGGGUAGCGUAGUUGGUUAUCACAUUAGUCUCACGCGCUAAAAGGCCUCGGUUCGAAUCCAAGCUUAGAGA